rnacentral:lncRNA from 1 species
GGGACAGGGAGAUGAUCAUACUUUGAGUACUAGCAUUGUAUUGUGCUCUGCUCUUUGUUUCAGAGCCAGUUUUGGGCAAUGUAGAAAUGCUUAUGCAACCCCAGCCUUGUAACCAGAAGAGUCAUGGUUUUGCCUUUCUGCCUUACAUCUGUAAAUGCUUGCAAGGAUAUUUUCACCCCCUCAGAGAAGGUCAUCCAAGGGUUUUGCUGAGGACAAUAAAAUGGAAUAGACUACAUUAGUGCGG